AGCUUUGUGCAGUGGCAGUAUCAUAGCCAAUGAGGUUUAUCUGAGACGCGAUUAUUGCUAAUUGGAAAAAAGAAACAUAAAAGAA
rnacentral:snRNA from 12 species